rnacentral:rRNA from 1 species
UACAGAGGUGGCAAGCGUUGUUCGGAGUUACUGGGCGUAAAGGGCGCGUAGGUGGCCUUCUUAGUCAGACGUGAAAUCCCCAGGCUUAACCUGGGAACUGCGUCUGAUACUGGAAGGCUCGAGUUCGGGAGAGGAAUGUGGAAUUCCAGGUGUAGCGGUGAAAUGCGUAGAUAUCUGGAGGAACACCGGUGGCGAAGGCGGCAUUCUGGACCGAAACUGACGCUGAGGCGCGAAAGCCAGGGGAGCAAACGGG